rnacentral:rRNA from 1 species
UACGGGGGGGGCAAGCGUUGUUCGGAAUUACUGGGCGUAAAGGGCUCGUAGGCGGCCAACUAAGUCAGACGUGAAAUCCCCAGGCUCAACCUGGGAACUGCGUCUGAUACUGGUUGGCUUGAAUCCGGGAGAGGGAUGCAGAAUUCCAGGUGUAGCGGUGAAAUGCGUAGAUAUCUGGAGGAAUACCGGUGGCGAAGGCGGCAUCCUGGACCGGCAUUGACGCUGAGGAGCGAAAGCCAGGGGAGCAAACAGGAUUAGAUACCCCCGUAGUCC